UUUCUGUUCUCUGCAGAGGACUCUCCUUCCCAUGAGGAAUGGAUGAGAAAAGAGAGGCUCCACAGGGCAGAGGAAGCAAGGAUCAUACCUGACAUGGAGAUGUAAGACUUCCUGGAUUUCAUGGGCUCGGGUAUUUGGACACUUGCCCCUAGCUGAUGGUGGUGUUUUGAGACUUCAUGGAAUCCUCAAGAGUUGGAGGUGAACCUGGAGACCGCGGUGGAGCAGUCAUGGCAGGAGGACUCUGAAGCAGCUGGCCACACGAGGUCUACUUUUUAUAAACCACCCAGGAUCCCAGCACAGAAAUGGUGUCAACCAU